rnacentral:sRNA from 1 species
GCUGGGCAUGGUGACACACACCUGUAAUCCCAGCAACUCAGGUGGCUGAGGCAGGAGGAUUGCAAGUUAGAGGCCAGCCUGAAAAACUUAGCAAGACUCUGUCUCAA